GCCUACAGCCAUGUCACCCUGAAUGUGCCCAACCUCAUCUGAUCUCAGAAGCUAAGCAGGGUUGGACCUGUUUAGUACGUGGAUGAGAGACCACCUAGGAAUACCAGGUGCUGAAGGUG
rnacentral:rRNA from 1 species